rnacentral:lncRNA from 1 species
GCCCGUAAUCUCAAAGGAAAAAAAUAAAGGCAAGCUACCAAAUGUUAUGAUCUGUAAAGGUCUGGAAGAGGUCGGAGCUAGACUGAAAGAAAGGAGUAGUCCUGAAGGACCGCAACUUUCAGCUCCCGUGUGAUGCUUGCUCAUCACGUAAAUCUGGACUACGAACGUUCCUUCUAAUUUACAUUUCUUCCUCAGGAGGCUGGCAGUUCUUUGCCCCA